rnacentral:rRNA from 1 species
AUGAACGCUGGCGGCGUGCCUAAUACAUGCAAGUCGAGCGAACAGAUGAGGAGCUUGCUCCUCUGACGUUAGCGGCGGACGGGUGAGUAACACGUGGAUAACCUACCUAUAAGACUGGGAUAACUUCGGGAAACCGGAGCUAAUACCGGAUAAUAUAUUUAACCGCAUGGUUCAAUAGUGAAAGACGGUUUUGCUGUCACUUAUAGAUGGAUCCGCGCCGCAUUAGCUAGUUGGUAAGGUAACGGCUUACCAAGGCAACGAUGCGUAGCCGACCUGAGAGGGUGAUCGGCCACACUGGAACGUGGACACGGUCCAGACUCCUACGGGAGGCAGCAGUAGGGAAUCUUCCGCAAUGGGCGAAAGCCUGACGGAGCAACGCCGCGUGAGUGAUGAAGGUCUUCGGAUCGUAAAACUCUGUUAUUAGGGAAGAACAAAUGUGUAAGUAACUAUGCACGUCUUGACGGUACCUAAUCAGAAAGCCACGGCUAACUACGUG